rnacentral:rRNA from 1 species
UACAGAGGUCCCAAGCGUUGUUCGGAUUCAUUGGGCGUAAAGGGUGUGUAGGUGGCGCCGUAAGUCGGGUGUGAAAUUUCGGAGCUUAACUCCGAAACUGCAUUCGAUACUGCGGUGCUUGAGGACUGGAGAGGAGACUGGAAUUCAUGGUGUAGCAGUGAAAUGCGUAGAGAUCAUGAGGAAGACCAGUGGCGAAGGCGGGUCACUGGCCCGGUACUGACGCUGAGGCGCGAAAGCGUGGGGAGCAAACAGG